ACGGAAGGCAGCAGUGGGGAAUAUUGGGCAAUGGGCGAAAGCCUGACCCAGCAACGCCGCGUGAAGGAAGAAGGUCUUCGGAUUGUAAACUUCUUUUAUGAGGGACGAAGGACGUGACGGUACCUCGUGAAUAAGCCACGGCUAACUACGUGCCAGCAGCCGCGAUAAUACGUAGGUGGCAAGCGUUAUCCGGAUUUACUGGGUGUAAAGGGCGCGUAGGCGGGAAGGCAAGUCAGAUGUGAAAUCCAUGGGCUCAACCCAUGAACUGCAUUUGAAACUGUUUUUCUUGAGUGCUGGUGAGGUAGACGGAAUUCCUUGUGUAGCGGUGAAAUGCGUAGAUAUAAGGAAGAACACCAGUGGCGAAGGCGGUCUACUGGACAGUAACUGACGCUGAGGCGCGAAAGCGUGGGGAGCAAACAGGAUUAGAUACCCUGGUA
rnacentral:rRNA from 1 species